GGGAAAGUGGCUCAGUGGUAGAGUGCUUGUCUUGCAUGCAUGAGGUCCUGGGUUCGAUUCCUCAGCACCA
rnacentral:tRNA from 1 species